rnacentral:rRNA from 1 species
UUGCGGUUAAAAAGCUCGUAGUUGGAUCUCGGCAAGUAGAGGGCGGUAUGCUUCGUAGCAUUACUGCCCUAUUACUUGUAGUUUUGCCAGAGGUUCCUGGGUGCUCUUAAUCGAGUGUCUAGGGAUGCUGGCAGGUUUACUUUGAAAAAAUUAGAGUGCUCAAAGCAGGCCAUUACGCUUGAAUAUUCGUGCAUGGAAUAAUAGGAUAGGAAGUUGUUUCUAUUUUGUUGGUUUUCGGAAAUCGACUUAAUGAUUAAUAGGGACAGUCGGGGGCAUUUGUAUUCAAACGACAGAGGUGAAAUUCUUGGACCGUUUGAAGACAAACUACUGCGAAAGCAUUUGCCAAGAAUGUUUUCAUUAAUCAAGAACGAAAGUUAGAGGUUCGAAGGCGAUUAGAUACCGCCCUAGUUCUAACCAUAAACGAUGCCAGCUAGCGAUCUGAGGACGUUUUUUUUGUAGACUCCUCAGGAAGCUUCCGGGAAACCAAAGCGUGUGGGUUCCGGGGGAAGUAUGGUUGCAAAGCUGAAACUUAAAGGAAUUGACGGAAAGGCACCACCAGGAGUGGAGCCUGCGGCUUAAUUUGACUCAACACGGGAAUUCUCACCAAGCCCGGACACUGGAAGGAUUGACAGAUUGAGAGCUCUUUCUC